rnacentral:lncRNA from 1 species
ACUGUAUGUUUGCCUAAUGGACUUGACCUCCACCUGAUUCUGAUACAUAUAUUUAUUUGGUUUCACUGACUGUUUAGCAAGUUCUAAUUCCUGUAAAAUGGUUCGUACAGGGUUCUGAUAAUUUCUUUCUUUGUAGUUAGUAUGGGAGUAGCUCUUCUCAUUCUCCAUGCUUUAGCUACCAAUCUUGUAGAUUCUGAGAUAUAAUGAACAUUGUUCUUGUUUCUUUGAUUAACAACAGGGUGAUAGUAAGUUAACUUCAAAAUCCAGCGAUGGCUCCAUUAAAAAGGAUGCCCUUGGUCAUGUGGGAGCAAGUAGCUCAGCUGUACAAGGGAUGGGUCAGCAAGGAACAUACAACCAAGGAAUGGGUUAUAUGCAACCUCAGUACCAUAACGGAGAUAUCUCGAACUAAUGAAGACAUGGACCUUUUCUGCAACAGCUGCUCUUCCCCGAGGCGGGUUUUUGGUCGCAGUUAUUUACUAAGUAAGACACCUUGCGGUGACCAUUAAAGAGUAACCAAUCACCCUGGGUAGGUCAAUUUUUAUCUGCAAGAACUGAUGAGGCCGCUUGGUAGGAGUAAAUCGCUUUUCCUGGGAACGAUUGUUGGUUAGCGCCGCUACUGUAUGUAUAUUGAGAUACCUUAACGAUUGGUCUUUUGGCUGCCAUUUGGUUACAUGUAUUUGUAUUUGGAGGCAUAAGUAUCGUGUAAUUUGUGUUAUGACUAGUGUAUUGACUAUUGAAUUAUGAGAAGAGCUGCUUUAGUUGUAAGAUC